rnacentral:lncRNA from 1 species
UCAGAGCAAAUUCCUAGCGGUUUUCUGCAUAAUUCAGAGCUGGUUUUCAGUUUGUGGACUGAUAUUGUGCAACAGAGGUGUUUCGGUACUGCAGUUGUUUCUUCCGCCCCUUGACACCCUCUACGCAUAAAGUAUUUAAAAGUAGCAAUGUCCUUCUUCUUUGGUACUACCCAUGGAGGUAUCCUUCAUUCAUGUUUCUUGCUUAAUUUUUCUGCCGAGGCUUAUCGUUCCUUAAUUUUUCUUCAUAUAUGUUUCUUGCUCAUGAAGUCCUAAUUUUAACCUAAACCCUAUUGCAUAAUUUUACUGUUUUAACCCUAAUGCUCACAUCUAAUCUCCUAUUUUCAUGAACAACCCUAAUACUCACACCUAAUCUCCUAUUUUCAUGAACAAAGCAAAUCGGCAUCGCUUUAUUUCUUCAACAAAACAAAUAUCUUGGUUCAUGACAUACUGCAAGCAACAUCACUCUCUCUCUCUCUCUGCUAUGCAUGUUUUCCUCUCUCUCACCCCAACCGCUCUCAUCUGCUUCUUCUAUCGAUCUCAGGUAUCUCAAUUCCUAUAAUUCAGAGCAAAUUCCUGGUGGUUUUCUGCAUAAUUCAGAGCUGGUUUUCAGUUUGUGGACAUCAAUUGUGCAACAUAGGUGUUUCGGUACUGCAGUUGUUUCUUCCGCCCCUUGACACCCUCUACGCAUAAAGUAUUUAAAAGUAGCAAUGUCCUUCUUCUUUGGUACUACCCAUGGAGGUAUCCUUCAUUCAUGUUUCUUGCUUAAUUUUUCUGCCGUGGACUAAUGUUGUGCAGCAGAGGUGUUUCAGAUUAUUGCUGCUACAUAGCAGUGUUUCUUCCACCCCCUGCAUUUCACAUAGCAGCUGAUAAUGUGAUGGCAUGUUUUCUUAGCGGUGGUUUCUGAUGUUCUUGAAACAAAUAAGGUUUCACUUCGAAUUUUAGCGCACACGGUAAUGUUACUAGCCAAAAAUAUCACAUAUAUUUAGCUUCAUAUGAUUUGGACCAUUGUCUUAAUCUAUAAUUUAUGGUGCAGUUUGAAUUAAAUUGGUGGACAAUUCAAAAUUAAGUACCAAGCUGUAUAGAAUUGAUUAUGCAUAAUGUGAAUUGUGUGGUUUUUAUAAUUCAUGUGAUAGUUUUUCUUGGCUAGCUGCAUAAUAGGAAUGCGACCACUUAAUCUAUUGACAAUGUUUUUAUAAUUUUUGUGAAGGACUCGCAGAAAGGAACACCAGUGGUAGUGAAAUUCAAGGACCCUGAUUUCUCAUUUGUGAAUAUUAAUGGUGUUGAUGCUGCCUGUCGCAUCAUUUUUUGGAGAUCAAGGCUAUUUGAUUAGCUUUUGACUCACUAAUUAUUUCACGACUGAACAUUUAAUUUUUAUUAAGAAAAGGGGAAAA